UGAGGGGGGCUGCUCCUAGUACGAGAGGACCGGAGUGGACGCAUCACUGGUGUUCGGGUUGUCAUGCCAAUGGCACUGCCCGGUAGCUAAAUGCGGAAGAGAUAAGUGCUGAAAGCAUCUAAGCACGAAACUUGCCCCGAGAUGAGUUCUCCCUGACUCCUUGAGAGUCCUGAAGGAACGUUGAAGACGACGACGUUGAUAGGCCGGGUGUGUAAGCGCAGCGAUGCGUUGAGCUAACCGGUACUAAUGAGCCGUGAGGCUUAACCUUACAACGCCGAAG
rnacentral:rRNA from 1 species